rnacentral:rRNA from 1 species
UGGGGAAUAUUGCACAAUGGAGGGAACUCUGAUGCAGCGACGCCGCGUGAACGAAGAAGGCUUUCGAGUCGUAAAGUUCUUUUAUAUGGGAAGAUAAUGACGGUACCAUAAGAAAAAGCCCCGGCUCACUACGUGCCAGCAGCCGCGGUAAUACGUAGGGGGCUAGCGUUGUCCGGAAUCACUGGGCGUAAAGGGUUCGCAGGCGGAAAUGCAAGUCAGGUGUAAAAGGCAGUAGCUUAACUACUGUAAGCAUUUGAAACUGCAUAUCUUGAGAAGAGUAGAGGUAAGUGGAAUUUUUAGUGUAGCGGUGAAAUGCGUAGAUAUUAAAAAGAAUACCGGUGGCGAAGGCGACUUACUGGGCUCAUUCUGACGCUGAGGAACGAAAGCGUGGGUAGCAAACAGG